rnacentral:rRNA from 1 species
UAGGGAAUCUUCGGCAAUGGACGGAAGUCUGACCGAGCAACGCCGCGUGAGUGAAGAAGGUUUUCGGAUCGUAAAACUCUGUUGUUAGAGAAGAACAAGGAUGAGAGUAGAAUGUUCAUCCCUUGACGGUAUCUAACCAGAAAGCCACGGCUAACUACGUGCCAGCAGCCGCGGUAAUACGUAGGUGGCAAGCGUUGUCCGGAUUUAUUGGGCGUAAAGCGAGCGCAGGCGGUUUCUUAAGUCUGAUGUGAAAGCCCCCGGCUCAACCGGGGAGGGUCAUUGGAAACUGGGAAACUUGAGUGCAGAAGAGGAGAGUGGAAUUCCAUGUGUAGCGGUGAAAUGCGUAGAUAUAUGGAGGAACCCCAGUGGCGAAGGCGGCUCUCUGGUCUGUAACUGACGCUGAGGCUCGAAAGCGUGGGGAGCAAACAGG